ensembl:snoRNA
AUCCCAUUCUCAAGGAGAAUAGGGACUGUUGAUCAUGCCAUCCAGAGAUGGUUAAUGGAGCUACACUGAGAUAUGGCUACGCUUGCAUCACAGCUAAUGCAUCACAAUGGUGACAAUGAGACCUGCAACAUUU